rnacentral:rRNA from 1 species
CUAAGUUUGAUGGCGACCGGCGCACGGGUGAGUAACACGUAUCCAACCUGCCGAUGACUCGGGGAUAGCCUUUCGAAAGAAAGAUUAAUACCCGAUGGCAUAGUUCUUCCGCAUGGUAGAACUAUUAAAGAAUUUCGGUCAUCGAUGGGGAUGCGUUCCAUUAGGUUGUUGGCGGGGUAACGGCCCACCAAGCCUUCGAUGGAUAGGGGUUCUGAGAGGAAGGUCCCCCACAUUGGAACUGAGACACGGUCCAAACUCCUACGGGAGGAGCAUG